rnacentral:rRNA from 1 species
AGCAAGCACCGGCUAACUCCGUGCCAGCAGCCGCGGUAAUACGGAGGGUGCAAGCGUUACUCGGAAUCACUGGGCGUAAAGCGCGCGCAGGCGGCUAUUUAAGUUGGAUGUGAAAGCCUACGGCUCAACCGUAGAACUGCAUCCAAAACUAUUUAGCUAGAGUGUGGGAGAGGAAGAUGGAAUUAGUUGUGUAGGGGUAAAAUCCGUAGAGAUAACUAGGAAUACCAAAAGCGAAGGCAAUCUUCUGGAACACUACUGACGCUGAGGCGCGAAAGCGUGGGGAGCAAACAGGAUUAGAUACCCUGGUAGUCCACGCAGUAAACGAUGAAUGUUAGUCGUCGGGUAGCUAGUCUAUUCGGUGAUGCAGCUAACGCAUUAAACAUUCCGCCUGGGGAGUACGGUCGCAAGAUUAAAACUCAAAGGAAUAGACGGGGACCCGCACAAGUGGUGGAGCAUGUGGUUUAAUUCGAAGAUACGCGAAGAACCUUACCUAGCCUUGACAUAUUUUAGAACUCACCAGAGAUGGAGAGGUGCCUUCGGGAGCUAAUUUACAGGUGCUGCACGGCUGUCGUCAGCUCGUGUCGUGAGAUGUUGGGUUAAGUCCCGCGACGAGCGCAACCCUCGUCACUAGUUACUAACGGUUCGGCCGAGGACUCUAGUGAGACUGCCUUCGUAAGGAGGAGGAAGGUGAGGACGACGUCAAGUCAUCAUGGCCCUUACGGCUAGGGCAACACACGUGCUACAAUGGCCAGGACAGUGAGACGCGAUACCGUGAGGUGGAGCAAAUCUAUAAACCUGGUCUCAGUUCGGAUUGUAGUCUGCAACUCGACUACAUGAAGCUGGAAUCACUAGUAAUCGUAG